rnacentral:rRNA from 1 species
UGGGGAAUUUUGGACAAUGGGCGAAAGCCUGAUCCAGCAAUGCCGCGUGUGUGAAGAAGGCCUUCGGGUUGUAAAGCACUUUUGUCCGGAAAGAAAUCCUUGUCUCUAAUACAGUCGGGGGAUGACGGUACCGGAAGAAUAAGCACCGGCUAACUACGUGCCAGCAGCCGCGGUAAUACGUAGGGUGCAAGCGUUAAUCGGAAUUACUGGGCGUAAAGCGUGCGCAGGCGGUUUGCUAAGACCGAUGUGAAAUCCCCGGGCUCAACCUGGGAACUGCAUUGGUGACUGGCAGGCUAGAGUAUGGCAGAGGGGGGUAGAAUUCCACGUGUAGCAGUGAAAUGCGUAGAGAUGUGGAGGAAUACCGAUGGCGAAGGCAGCCCCCUGGGCCAAUACUGACGCUCAUGCACGAAAGCGUGGGGAGCAAACAGGAUUAGAUACCCUGGUAGUCCACGCCCUAAACGAUGUCAACUAGUUGUUGGGGAUUCAUUUCCUUAGUAACGUAGCUAACGCGUGAAGUUGACCGCCUGGGGAGUACGGUCGCAAGAUUAAAACUCAAAUGAAUUGAC